rnacentral:tRNA from 1 species
AGGGGCAUAGCUCAGUUGGUAGAGCGUAUCGUUCGCAAUGAAAAGGUCCGGGGCGAAUCCCCGUGUCUCCA